rnacentral:rRNA from 1 species
UACGUAGGGUGCGAGCGUUGUCCGGAAUUAUUGGGCGUAAAAGAGCUUGUAGGCGGUUUGUCGCGUCUGCCGUGAAAUUUCGAGGCUCAACCUCGAACUUGCGGUGGGUACGGGCAGACUAGAGUGUGGUAGGGGAGACUGGAAUUCCUGGUGUAGCGGUGAAAUGCGCAGAUAUCAGGAGGAACACCGAUGGCGAAGGCGGCAUCCUGGGCCGUAACUGACGCUGAGGAGCGAAAGCAUGGGGAGCGAACAGG